rnacentral:misc_RNA from 1 species
GAUGAAGAACGUAGCGAAAUGCGAUACGUAAUGUGAAUUGCAGAAUUCAGUGAAUCAUCGAAUCUUUGAACGCAUAUUGCGCUCUUUGGUAUUCCGAAGAGCAUGCUUGUUUGAGUAUCAGUAAACACCUCAAAGCUUUUGGAUUUUUUAAUCGAAAAGCUUUGGACUUGAGCAAUCCCAACACCAAUCUUUUUGAGAUCGGUGGCGGGUUGCUUGAAAUGCAGGUGCAGCUGGACUUUUAUCUGAGCUAAAAGCAUAUCUAUUUAGUCCUCGUCAAACAGGAUUAUUACUUUUGCUGCAGCUAACAUAAAGGAUAAUUGUCCUCUUUGCUGACUGAUGCAGGAUUUUACGACACUUUAUGUGUUGUUCAACUCGAUCUCAAAUCAAGUAAGACUACCCGCUGAACUUAAGCAUAUCAAUAAGCGGAGGA